rnacentral:rRNA from 1 species
AUUGAACGCUGGCGGCAUGCUUUACACAUGCAAGUCGAACGGUAACAGGGUGCUUGCACCGCUGACGAGUGGCGAACGGGUGAGUAAUGCGUCGGAACGUGCCGAGUAGUGGGGGAUAACGCAGCGAAAGUUGUGCUAAUACCGCAUACGUACUGAGGUAGAAAGUGGGGGACCUUCGGGCCUCACGCUAUUCGAGCGGCCGACGUCUGAUUAGCUAGUAGGUGAGGUAAAGGCUCACCUAGGCGACGAUCAGUAGCGGGUCUGAGAGGAUGAUCGGCCACGCUGGGACUGAGACACGGCCCAGACUCCUACGGGAGGCAGCAGUGGGGAAUUUUGGACAAGGGGCGAAAGCCUGAUCCAGCCAUGCCGCGUGUCUGAAGAAGGCCUUCGGGUUGUAAAGGACUUUUGUCGGGGAGGAAAUCCCCAGCGUUAAUACCGCUGGGGGAUGACAGUACCUGAAGAAUAAGCACCGGCUAACUACGUGCCAGCAGCCGCCGUAAUAC